rnacentral:rRNA from 1 species
UACGUAGGGUGCAAGCGUUAAUCGGAAUUACUGGGCGUAAAGCGUGCGCAGGCGGUUUUGUAAGUCAGAUGUGAAAUCCCCGGGCUUAACCUGGGAACUGCGUUUGAAACUACAAGGCUAGAGUGUGACAGAGGGGGUGGAAUUCCACGUGUAGCAGUGAAAUGCGUAGAGAUGUGGAGGAACACCGAUGGCGAAGGCAGCCCCUGGGUUAACACUGACGCUCAGGCACGAAAGCGUGGGGAUCAAACAGG